GAUGAACGCUGGCGGCGUGCCUAAUACAUGCAAGUCGAGCGAACGGACGAGAAGCUUGCUUUUCUGAUGUUAGCGGCGGACGGGUGAGUAACACGUGGAUAACCUACCUAUAAGACUGGGAUAACUUCGGGAAACCGGAGCUAAUACCGGACAAUAUUUUGAACCGCAUGGUUCAAAAGUGAAAGACGGUCUUGCUGUCACUUAUAGAUGGAUCCGCGCUGCAUUAGCUAGUUGGUAAGGUAACGGCUUACCAAGGCAACGAUGCAUAGCCGACCUGAGAGGGGGAUCGGCCACCCGGGAACUGAGCCACGGUCCAGACUCCUACGGGAGGCAGCAGUAGGGAAUCUUCCGCAAUGGGCGAAAGCCUGACGGAGCAACGCCGCGUGAGUGAUGAAGGUCUUCGGAUCGUAAAACUCUGUUAUUAGGGAAGAACAUAUGUGUAAGUAACUGUGCACAUCUUGACGGUACCUAAUCAGAAAGCCACGGCUAACUACGUG
rnacentral:rRNA from 1 species